rnacentral:rRNA from 1 species
UACGGGGGGAGCAAGCGUUGUUCGGAUUUACUGGGCGUAAAGGGCGCGUAGGCGGCCACCGCAAGUCGACUGUGAAAUCUCCGGGCUUAACCCGGAAAGGUCAGCCGAUACUGCGGGGCUAGAGUGCAGAAGGGGCAACUGGAAUUCUCGGUGUAGCGGUGAAAUGUGUAGAUAUCGAGAGGAACACCUGCGGCGAAGGCGGGUUGCUGGGCUGACACUGACGCUGAGGCGCGAAAGCUAGGGGAGCAAACGGG